AAAGUCUGAUGGAGCAACGCCGCGUGAGUGAUGAAGGUUUUCGGAUCGUAAAACUCUGUUGUAAGGGAAGAACCAGUACGUCAGGCAAUGGACGUACCUUGACGGUACCUUAUUAGAAAGCCACGGCUAACUUCGUGCCAGCAGCCGCGGUAAUACGAAGGGGGCUAGCGUUGUUCGGAAUUACUGGGCGUAAAGCGCACGUAGGCGGGCAUUUAAGUCAGGGGUGAAAUCCCAGAGCUCAACUCUGGAACUGCCUUUGAUACUGGGUGUCUUGAGUAUGGAAGAGGUAAGUGGAAUUCCGAGUGUAGAGGUGAAAUUCGUAGAUAUUCGGAGGAACACCAGUGGCGAAGGCGGCUUACUGGUCCAUUACUGACGCUGAGGUGCGAAAGCGUGGGGAGCAAACA
rnacentral:rRNA from 1 species